ACUGGAAUUACUGUAUACAUGCGGGACUUAGGAAUCUGUGUUUUGACCAAGAGGCCAGGUGAUUCUUCUGCUCAGUUAGUGCUGGGAAACAGUGCUAAGAAGGAUACAGUGGCUAGAAGUCGUCCUGUCGUCCUGCCUCACAGUAACAUCGUUACCGAAUUCUCAGCAGGUGAACCAAAUGAAAUGGUCAACUGAAAGCCAACCAGGGUAAAACAGAUCUUUUAUUUCUUGUUGUUGUUAUUAUUAUUUUUUUUUAUGUGGGGACAUUCAAGUGAACUGCUAUAUGCAUUUGCCCCCAGUCUCUCCUUGUGAGAAGUGAAUUUCUUCAACGUUUAUAGAACUGAGGUAUUACAUUAUUGGAUGAAUUAAGAAAACAAUCUAACCUGAUGUGUGAAAAUUUCUGCUUGUGAGAAUCCGUGUUAUUUCAAUUAUCCAAUCAAGAGCCUAAUUCGUAUAAAAGAAACACAGCAGCUUGUUGCUCAUCUUUUUAUCUAAGGACGGUUUGUCUUGACAGAGGGUGUCUGGCUGUUUUGGGGAAACUAUUCCUGACCUUAUUUUGACUAAAAAGUUGCCUGCUGUACCAGGGUCUUGUCCUGUCACUCUGGCUGGAAUACAAUGGCGUAAUCAUAGCUCACUGCGGCCUCCAUCUCCUGGGUUCAAGUGAUUCUCCUGCUUCAGCUUCCCAAGUAUCUGGGACUACAGCAAAAAAUCACCAUGUACCAACCUAUCCAAACUUAUCCAUGGAUGAAUCUAUCCAGAAGACGGGAGUUCCGAUGCUUGUCUUGCUCUGAAUGUCUGCUUGUCACCUGCUUAGGGUUAUCGACUGUGAUUCUGGGACUCAUUGUUGUUCUACAGGACCCCUCUGACUCUGUGGUUUUCUCUACUGGAUUAACAAUGAUAGCCAUAGGUGCUUUUUUUGUUGUCCUCACUGGAGUGACAGCCCUGUGUACGGUUACAGUCGACGAGAACUUGCAGAAAACCACGAGGCUAAGACUAGGAGUGAUACGAAAAAGCGGAAGUCUCCAAGGAACUACAGAGCCUUCCAUGACUCACUCAAUAAUCGCUAGCACCUCGCUGUAGUUGUACAUUGAACCCUGGCAUCUUCGUCUUUGGAACUAAGUCUCCUGAGCAUUGUUUUUAAAUAGAAAUAAAAUCUGGCUUUUAAAAAAACUCUUGUAAUCCCAGCAGUUUGGGAGGCCAAGGUGGGUGGAUCACAAGGUCAGGAGUUCGAGACCAGCCUGGCCAACAUGGUGAAACCCCGUCUCUACUAAAAAUGGAAAAAUUAGCCAGGUGUGGUGG
rnacentral:lncRNA from 1 species